GCAAAAUUUUACAGAAUUUUACUGUUUAAACAUUUUACAAGAUGUAGCUGUAAUUCGCAAUGCAUUAUGGGUCAAAUAAGGUUUUACAGUUGUUAACUGUAUAUUUCCAUGUCAACUGUAAUUAAUUUACAAGAAGCAGGUGUUAUCACUGUAGCUCCUGCUUUUUACACUACUUUACUGUAGUGUGGCAUUAUGGGAUUGCUUGCGCAUCGUUCAAAUCUGAAAUCCAGCCGACUGGAGCAGUGCCAGAACGAUUGAAGAUUAGAGGCUUUAUUCAUAAUUCCUGGUGCAAAGAAUAGCAGAUGAUGUGGAGAAAUGUUUGAUGUUUCAAGACUCUCUGAAGCUGAUUAUAUUAGGUGCACCCAGUGGUUUUUGACUAGGCCUAUUCGAGGGUCACAUGGUUGUGAAUUCACACCUCAACUUUGCGGCUGGAUUUUCAAUCUUAUUACAACUUCAGCCUGGCGUCCCGGGAGCAGGCGUCUUUUGCACACUUGAAUUAAUUUCAAAGGUAACAUGUUUUACUUGAGUAAUUUCAUUUGUGAAAAAGAUUACUUAUUUAGUUUAAGCACUGGUAAAUGCUGAUUGUAUUGUAAAAGUGGCAUUUUUACAUUUAUUUUAUUGAGCUAGUUUCAUUCAAUACUGAACUUUAUUCUAAAGCUUCUGCUUGUUUUUAUGUGCAGAUGUUUUGUUGGAAUCACAACACUCACUGGAUACAAGACGGAUACAUAGAGGCAAAACAAGUGGAAAGGUCUCAGAGAAGAGGAACAACCCUCGUGUGUGCUCAUCUCAGAAAGUUGAUGGACUUUC